rnacentral:lncRNA from 1 species
AACUUUGGGUUCUGGGGGUAUUUUUAAAAGAAAAAUCAGAAACUAGGGGUUAAAAUAUAAUUUAAGGAAAUUUUGAUACGUCAUAUGCCCGGUUAGCAGGCCCGAUGAAUCAGGACACGCCUCGUGGCAGCGAAUGUUGACGCGGUGCCACGUGGUUGAUCUGCAUGCCCGUGAUUGAACGGUCCAGCUCUGUUCCCACGUGCACGGACGGCUCAGAUGCGUUCCCUACCUAAACGCGAUCGGACUAACAGAUUUGAACACGAUCAGACGGUCCAUAUUAGAUCGUGAUGGAUGGCCCAAAUUGGAUUGCGAUGAACAGUAUAGAUUCACUCCCUAUUCAAUAGCG